AACGAACGCUGGCGGCACGCCUAACGCAUGCAAGUCGAACGGUAACAGAGGUGCUUGCACCUGCUGACGAGUGGCGCACGGGUGAGUAACGCGUGGAUACAUGCCUCGAUGUGGGGGACAACAGUUGGAAACGACUGCUAAUACCGCAUAAUCCCUGAGGGGGAAAGACUUCGGUCGCAUUGAGAGUGGUCCGCGUCGGAUUAGCUAGUUGGUGGGGUAACGGCCUACCAAGGCGACGAUCCGUAGCUGGUCUGAGAAGGUGACCAGCCACACUGGGACUGAGACACGGCCCAGACUCCUACGGGAGGCAGCAGUGGGGAAUAUUGCGCAAUGGGGGAAACCCUGACGCAGCAAUGCCGCGUGAGUGAAGAAGGUCUUCGGAUUGUAAAGCUCUUUCAGCUGGGGAAGAUAGUGACGGUACCAGCAGAAGAAGCCCCGGNUAACUCCGUG
rnacentral:rRNA from 1 species